UGGAGGGUGCAAGCGUUGUUCGGAAUUAUUGGGCGUAAAGCGCGUGUAGGCGGCUACCUAAGUCUGGUGUGAAAGCCCGGGGCUUAACCCCGGAAGUGCACUGGAUACUGGGUAGCUAGAGGACGGGAGAGGAGAGCGGAAUUCAUGGUGUAGGGGUGAAAUCCGUAGAUAUCAUGAGGAACAUCCGUGGCGAAGGCGGCUCUCUGGCCCGUAACUGACGCUGAGACGCGAAAGCGUGGGGAGCAAACAGGAUUAGAUACCCUGGUAGUCCACGCCCUAAACGAUGAAUACUAGUUGUCGGGAUUCCUAAUUGUCUCGGUGACGUAGCUAACGCAUUAAGUAUUCCGCCUGGGAAUUACGGUCGCAAGAUUA
rnacentral:rRNA from 1 species